rnacentral:sRNA from 1 species
CCCUAGCCCCGAUUGCAGUGAAAAUCCUUUUGCGGCCGCAGCGCAGCGGAGGCCGUAAAAGAUUGCAACGGAAAGCGGGAAAAAGC